rnacentral:rRNA from 1 species
CGUAAACGGUGGGUGCUAGCUGUGGGCCACAUUCCACGUGGUCCGUGACGAAGUUAACACAUUAAGCACCCCGCCUGGGGAGUACGGCCGCAAGGCUAAAACUCAAAGGAAUUGACGGGGGCCCGCACAAGCGGCGGAGCAUGCGGAUUAAUUUGAUGCAACGCGAAGAACCUUACCAAGGCUUGACAUAUAGAGGAAAAGUGCAGAAAUGUACUCCCCGCAAGGUCUCUAUACAGGUGGUGCAUGGUUGUCGUCAGCUCGUGCCGUGAGAUGUUGGGUUAAGUCCCGCAGCGAGCGCAACCCUCGUCCUAUGUUGCCAGCACGUAAUGGUGGGAACUCAUGGGAUACUGCCGGGGUCAACUCGGAGGAAGGUGGGGAUGACGUCAAAUCAUCAUGCCCCUUAUGUCUUGGGCUUCACGCAUGCUACAAUGGCCGGUACAGGGGGCUGCAAUACCGUAAGGUGGAGCGAAUCCCAAAAAGCCGGUCUCAGUUCGGAUUGAGGUCUGCAACUCGACCUCAUGAAGUCGGAGUCGCUAGUAAUCGUAGAUCAGCAACGCUACGGUGAAUACGUUCCCGGGCCUUGUACACACCGCCCGUCAAGUCACGAAAGUCGGUAACACCCGAAGCCGGUGGCCUAACCGUAAGGAGGGAGCCGUCGAAG